GAACGGGUGAGUAACACGUGGGUGAUCUGCCCUGCACUUUGGGAUAAGCCUGGGAAACUGGGUCUAAUACCGAAUAGGACCACGCGCUUCAUGGUGUGUGGUGGAAAGCUUUUGCGGUGUGGGAUGGGCCCGCGGCCUAUCAGCUUGUUGGUGGGGUAAUGGCCUACCAAGGCGACGACGGGUAGCCGGCCUGAGAGGGUGACCGGCCACACUGGGACUGAGAUACGGCCCAGACUCCUACGGGAGGCAGCAGUGGGGAAUAUUGCACAAUGGGCGCAAGCCUGAUGCAGCGACGCCGCGUGAGGGAUGACGGCCUUCGGGUUGUAAACCUCUUUCAAUAGGGACGAAGCGCAAGUGACGGUACCUAUAGAAGAAGCACCGGCCAACUACGUGCCAGCAGCCGCGGUAAUACGUAGGGUGCGAGCGUUGUCCGGAAUUACUGGGCGUAAAGAGCUCGUAGGUGGUUUGUCGCGUUGUUCGUGAAAACUCACAGCUUAACUGUGGGCGUGCGGGCGAUACGGGCAGACUAGAGUACUGCAGGGGAGACUGGAAUUCCUGGUGUAGCGGUGGAAUGCGCAGAUAUCAGGAGGAACACCGGUGGCGAAGGCGGGUCUCUGGGCAGUAACUGACGCUGAGGAGCGAAAGCGUGGGGAGCGAACAGGAUUAGAUACCCUGGUAGUCCACGCCGUANACGGUGGGUACUAGGUGUGGGUUCCUUCCUUGGGAUCCGUGCCGUAGCUAACGCAUUAAGUACCCCGCCUGGGGAGUACGGCCGCAAGGCUAAAACUCAAAGGAAUUGACGGGGACCCGCACAAGCGGCGGAGCANNNGNAUUAAU
rnacentral:rRNA from 1 species